rnacentral:rRNA from 1 species
GUUUGAUCCUGGCUCAGGACGAACGCUGGCGGCGUGCCUAAUACAUGCAAGUCGAGCGAGCGGAACUAACAGAUUUACUUCUGUAAUGACGUUAGGAAAGCGAGCGGCGGAUGGGUGAGUAACACGUGGGGAACCUGCCCCAUAGUCUGGGAUACCACUUGGAAACAGGUGCUAAUACCGGAUAAGAAAGCAGAUCGCAUGAUCAGCUUUUAAAAGGCGGCGUAAGCUGUCGCUAUGGGAUGGCCCCGCGGUGCAUUAGCUAGUUGGUAAGGUAAAGGCUUACCAAGGCGAUGAUGCAUAGCCGAGUUGAGAGACUGAUCGGCCACAUUGGGACUGAGACACGGCCCAAACUCCUACGGGAGGCAGCAGUAGGGAAUCUUCCACAAUGGACGCAAGUCUGAUGGAGCAACGCCGCGUGAGUGAAGAAGGUUUUCGGAUCGUAAAGCUCUGUUGUUGGUGAAGAAGGAUAGAGGUAGUAACUGGCCUUUAUUUGACGGUAAUCAACCAGAAAGUCACGGCUAACUACGUGCCAGCAGCCGCGGUAAUACGUAGGUGGCAAGCGUUGUCCGGAUUUAUUGGGCGUAAAGCGAGCGCAGGCGGAAGAAUAAGUCUGAUGUGAAAGCCCUCGGCUUAACCGAGGAACUGCAUCGGAAACUGUUUUUCUUGAGUGCAGAAGAGGAGAGUGGAACUCCAUGUGUAGCGGUGGAAUGCGUAGAUAUAUGGAAGAACACCAGUGGCGAAGGCGGCUCUCUGGUCUGCAACUGACGCUGAGGCUCGAAAGCAUGGGUAGCGAACAGGAUUAGAUACCCUGGUAGUCCAUGCCGUAAACGAUGAGUGCUAAGUGUUGGGAGGUUUCCGCCUCUCAGUGCUGCAGCUAACGCAUUAAGCACUCCGCCUGGGGAGUACGACCGCAAGGUUGAAACUCAAAGGAAUUGACGGGGGCCCGCACAAGCGGUGGAGCAUGUGGUUUAAUUCGAAGCAACGCGAAGAACCUUACCAGGUCUUGACAUCUAGUGCCAUUUGUAGAGAUACAAAGUUCCCUUCGGGGACGCUAAGACAGGUGGUGCAUGGCUGUCGUCAGCUCGUGUCGUGAGAUGUUGGGUUAAGUCCCGCAACGAGCGCAACCCUUGUUAUUAGUUGCCAGCAUUAAGUUGGGCACUCUAAUGAGACUGCCGGUGACAAACCGGAGGAAGGUGGGGAUGACGUCAAGUCAUCAUGCCCCUUAUGACCUGGGCUACACACGUGCUACAAUGGGCAGUACAACGAGAAGCGAGCCUGCGAAGGCAAGCGAAUCUCUGAAAGCUGUUCUCAGUUCGGACUGCAGUCUGCAACUCGACUGCACGAAGCUGGAAUCGCUAGUAAUCGCGGAUCAGCACGCCGCGGUGAAUACGUUCCCGGGCCUUGUACACACCGCCCGUCACACCAUGGGAGUCUGCAAUGCCCAAAGCCGGUGGCCUAACCUUCGGGAAGGAGCCGUCUAAGGCAGGGCAGAUGACUGGGGUGAAGUCGUAACAAGGUAGCCGUAGGAGAACCUGCGGCUGGAACACCUCCUU